AUGCACGCUGGCGGCGUGCCUCAUACAUGCCAGUCGCGCGAACAGACGAGGAGCUUGCUCCUCUGACGUUAGCGGCGGACGGGUGAGUAACACGUGGAUAACCUACCUAUAAGACUGGGAUAACUUCGGGAAACCGGAGCUAAUACCGGAUAAUAUAUUGAACCGCAUGGUUCAAUAGUGAAAGACGGUUUUGCUGUCACUUAUAGAUGGAUCCGCGCCGCAUUAGCUAGUUGGUAAGGUAACGGCUUACCAAGGCAACGAUGCGUAGCCGACCUGAGAGGGUGAUCGGCCACACUGGAACUGAGACACGGUCCAGACUCCUACGGGAGGCAGCAGUAGGGAAUCUUCCGCAAUGGGCGAAAGCCUGACGGAGCAACGCCGCGUGAGUGAUGAAGGUCUUCGGAUCGUAAAACUCUGUUAUUAGGGAAGAACAAGUGUGUAAGUAACUAUGCACGUCUUGACGGUACCUAAUCAGAAAGCCACGGCUAACUACGUG
rnacentral:rRNA from 1 species